GACGAACGCUGGCGGCGUGCCUAAUACAUGCAAGUAGAACGCUGAAGAGAGGAGCUUGCUCUUCUUGGAUGAGUUGCGAACGGGUGAGUAACGCGUAGGUAACCUGCCUUGUAGCGGGGGAUAACUAUUGGAAACGAUAGCUAAUACCGCAUAACAAUGGAUGACACAUUUCAUUUAUUUUAAAUUGGCAAUUGCUCCACUACAAGAUGUACCUGCGUUGUAUUAGCUAGUAGGUGAGGUAAUGGCUAACCUAGGCGACGAUACGUAGCAGACCAGAGAGGGUGAUCGGCCAAGCUGGGACUGAGACACGGCCCAGACUCCUACGAGAGGCAGAAGUAGGGGAUCUUCAGGAAUAGGAGCAACCCUGACCGAGCAACGCCGCGUGAGUGAAGAAGGUAUUCGGGUCGUGAAGCUCUGUUGUAAGUCAAGAACGGGUGUGAGAGUGGACAGUUCACACUGUGACGGUAGCUGACCAGAAAGGGACGGCUAACUACGUG
rnacentral:rRNA from 1 species